UUUUUAAUGUUAGACAUUCGGCUUUCCUUUUAUCUUCUCUUCCUCCUCUCUGACUGUUUCCUUUGUAUCUUCUUAAAUUGGUUUCUCAGAUCUUCAUCUCUUUCUUAGGUUCUCAUAAUUUGAUUUUCAGGGUCUCUAUAGAUCUAUAGAAGAUCGAAAUUUUGAUACAAGUUUUUAAAGAUUUCAUCAAGUUUUCUCUUCUCAGAUCCAGUUUUCCAAAUCGUUUCUCCGUUGAAUUUCUUAGUUUUUCUUCGAUUUAUAUUUCUUAGGAAACGAUUUUGGAUCGUUGUUUUCUUCUUCUUCUUUUUUUGGUUUUGCAGGUGAUUUUGAUGAUGGAGAGGAUUCUAUCAAUUGAGAUGAUGGACGGUUCUGUUCAUAUGUUUGUUUAUGAUUACUUGGUGGUUGGUGCAGAAGUUCGAUCUUGGUUCAGAUGAGAAAGCAGAGGUGAAUCGGUGAAUCGGUACGGUGUAUUAUCAGCAAUUUUUCAUUCAUGAUGAUGUAAAGAGAAGAUUCCAGGGCUUGCUGAUUUGUUGAUUGAUUGAUGAUAGAUUUGGUGAGGAUUUGAGGUUAAAAGAUGAGAUGUGAAAGAGAUCGAUGCAAAAUAUUGUGUGUCGGAUCUUCUUUGUCAUCCCGACCUUUGCCAUGUCAGGUGCGCUUGCUUGGCAGGUCAACCAAACCCUAAUAAAAAAAAAUUGAUUUGUGGUUUUAACAGGGGAGUUCGCACGGGGUCUUUUUUGCCCGGGUUCUCCCUUGUUGUUGUGUGUGGUGUCACUCUUAAAUUGCUUCUUGACUCAACGUGCUAUUGAUCAACAAUAACGAAUUGUUGAAUCCCACCGAUGAUGAAUCACAAGGAAUUUCACAGCAAAGCUGCAGUUUCAGAUCAAGGUACAUACAACAAAAUACCCGCACUUGAUUUGAUUCUCACUUUAAGAUUUCGUACUAUUAGAUCACACUUUAGGAAGGCAGUUAACCUGGUUUUCUUAGCUGUCAACAUGUUUUGAAAUUGUGAUGUUCAGGAGCUCAGUUAUUGUUAUUUUUCAAUCCUCAAAAUCUGUUUGAAUUGAAAUUAGUCAAGUACAAAACACACACUUUAAUCCUAAAGUGUACCAUACCAAUUUAAACUGCAAUAUUAUUUUUCGGCUCAGCAACUCGUGUACAAGUUCAUUACUAUCUCCCGAAGCUCGUCUGUUUCUUGCUCUAAUUUGUUUAAUGUUUUGUUCGUUUCUGUUUGAUGUUUGGUAUGCGUAUGUGUCUUGGAUAACAAACAUAUUCCUAUCUUUUGAAGGUUUCAAGUUCUGUGCACAAAAAAUUCCUAACAUUAGUUCCAUUGUUAAAAGAACGUUUGUGUAGGUUGUAAGUCAUAUGUUGAGUUAUUUUAUUGUGAAAAAUAUAAGUUCGCUGGUCAUCCUGAAACAAGUGAAGAAUUGAAGCCCCGUGGGUGAUUGAAUAUUGCGAAAUCUAUAUGUACUUUUGGUUGAUUCAUUGUCGAAGCUCAAAGCGUUUGUUGCUAAAGCUGUGUGGGUUCAGUUAUAUUCUGUUAGCUUCGAAUAAGAUGGUUUUUCAUUUGUUGUGGCAUAUUAUCUUCUGAGAGCAGGUUUGGAACUGGUAAAGGUUGUAAUGGUAUCAAAAGUUAUCGAUGUUGCACAGAUUAUCGGUAUGAAAAAAUGUUACACAGAUAAUAAUGUAUAAUGCUCUAUUAGAAGAUGGUUCGCAAAACUGUUUCAUAUAACUGCUUGAAGUUUGAGUGCUAAACUUUUGUAGUUGACUUUUAGAAACUGUGGAGUGUUCUUAUUUUGCUGGAACUGUGGAGUGUUCUUAUUUUGUAUCAAGAGAUCUGGAGUUUUGGCUGGUAGGCUUGUGUAGAUGAUAUCGAAACAAGGUUAAAUUUUAUGACGUGCUUAUGGUGAUUAACUGGAUUAUUUACUGAACUUUAUUUUGCUUUGAAGUUAAAUAUUAUUUAAGGUUCAUAUUAGAAAGGUUUUGCUUAUGUGUUUUUAUGAUAUGGCCAUUAUUGAUUUCCAAAAGCUUUGAUAGAAAAACCUUCGAAGCAACUCGAUGGAUCUUUAACAAAAUUUAAUUUCUUGGAUGGGUUUUGCAGUAGCUCUUUAACAAAAUUUAAUUUCUUGGAUGGGUUUUGCAGUAGCUCGUUUAUUAGCUUCCGAUUAUCUCAAUUUUAUGGGCUUACAUAAAAAAGAAAAAGUUAGUGCUAUCAGCCAAAUAUUGAACUAAUGGACUCGUCAGCUCAAAUGGUAAGAGCGCUCAACCUCUAAGGUUUGCAGAGGAUGAUGGUCGGAAUCCAUCCGUGUUCUGUGGCUCCGAGGUUUGGUCUGAUGUUGGCAGGAGCAGUCAAGACCAGAAAUAGUCGGGCAGGCAGGUAAUAAACAAAUAUCACUUGACCUUUCCCUGAAUUUAAUCAAACGGAAUUCUUGGAUGGAUUUUGCUGUAGCUUGUAGCUAAAUAUCAGAUGAUCAGCUCAAUUUUAUGGGCUUACAUAGUUGCGUGUAUCUCAGAUCUUAGGAUUAGAGGACAGUUUUUGUAGUAGCACAUUAUCAGAUCUUUGAAGCAAUUGUUGUUUGGA